rnacentral:rRNA from 1 species
GAUUAAUGCUGGUGGUAUGCAUAACACAUGCAAGUCGAACGAGUGGAACUUGUUCUGCUAGUGGCGAACGGGCGAGUAAUACAUAUUUAACUUACUUUUACGAGGAGGAUAGCAGCUCGAAAGGGCUAUUAAUACUCCAUAGGUUUAUAAACUAAAUUAAAGAGGCUCCUCUGGGGCCUUGCGUAAAACUAGGAAUAUGUCCUAUUAGGUAGUUGG